rnacentral:rRNA from 1 species
AUUGAACGCUGGCGGCAGGCCUAACACAUGCAAGUCGAGCGGAUGAAGGGAGCUUGCUCCUGGAUUCAGCGGCGGACGGGUGAGUAAUGCCUAGGAAUCUGCCUGGUAGUGGGGGAUAACGUCCGGAAACGGGCGCUAAUACCGCAUACGUCCUGAGGGAGAAAGUGGGGGAUCUUCGGACCUCACGCUAUCAGAUGAGCCUAGGUCGGAUUAGCUAGUUGGUGGGGUAAAGGCCUACCAAGGCGACGAUCCGUGACUGGUCUGAGAGGAUGAUCAGUCACACUGGAACUGAGACACGGUCCAGACCCCUACGGGAGGCAGCAGUGGGGAAUAUUGGACAAUGGGCGAAAGCCUGAUCCAGCCAUGCCGCGUGUGUGAAGAAGGUCUUCGGAUUGUAAAGCACUUUAAGUUGGGAGGAAGGGCAGUAAGUUAAUACCUUGCUGUUUUGACGUUACCAACAGAAUAAGCACCGGCUAACUUCGUG